rnacentral:rRNA from 1 species
GCCAAUGGCACUGCCCGGUAGCUAAAUGCGGAAGAGAUAAGUGCUGAAAGCAUCUAAGCACGAAACUUGCCCCGAGAUGAGUUCUCCCUGACUCCUUGAGAGUCCUGAAGGAACGUUGAAGACGACGACGUUGAUAGGCCGGGUGUGUAAGCGCAGCGAUGCGUUGAGCUAACCGGUACUAAUGAACCGUGAGGCUUAACCUUACAACGCCGAAGSUGUU